CCGUUGCCGGCGACCGGCGCACGGGUGAGUAACACGUAUGCAACCUGCCCGUGGCAGGGGGAGUAAGCGGGGGAAACCCCGUCUAAUACCGCGUAACGCGGCCUAGGGACAUCCCAAGGCCGCCAAGGGAGCAAUCCCGGCCACGGAUGGGCAUGCGGCGCAUUAGCUAGUCGGCGGGGUAACGGCCCACCGAGGCGACGAUGCGUAGGGGUCCUGAGAGGAAGGCCCCCCACACUGGUACUGAGACACGGACCAGACUCCUACGGAAGGCAGCAG
rnacentral:rRNA from 1 species